rnacentral:rRNA from 1 species
CAGUAGCCGCGGUAAUACGAAGGGUGCAAGCGUUAAUCGGAAUUACUGGGCGUAAAGCGUGCGUAGGCGGUUUGUUAAGUCUGUUGUGAAAUCCCCGGGCUCAACCUGGGAAUGGCAAUGGAUACUGGCAAGCUAGAGUGUGUCAGAGGAUGGUGGAAUUCCCGGUGUAGCGGUGGAAUGCGUAGAGAUCGGGGGGAACAUCAGUGGCGAAGGCGGCCAUCUGGGACAACACUGACGCUGAGGCACGAAAGCGUGGGGAGCAAACAGGAUUAGAUACCCGAGUAGUCCCUGUCUCUUAUAC